rnacentral:piRNA from 1 species
UGGGCAGUAUAACCAGGGCAGAGAAAGGU